rfam:Musa acuminata subsp. malaccensis Doubled-haploid Pahang (DH-Pahang) genomic chromosome, chr1
AAGGCAGGAUGGUGUGUAUCGGCGUGAUGCUAUUCUACCAUGCAUUUCUUGCCGAAAGUGAUUCCUGCUAGACCAAUAUUGGGGAAAAUGGGCAGUUGGGAUACCCUAAUCUUGCAACCGGUAUCUCGACAAUCAUUUUCCUUACAACC